rnacentral:miRNA from 1 species
UAAUGAUGAUGAUGAUGAUGAUGAUGAUGAUAAUCCAAUAAGUAAACAACGCAUGCGUGCUGCUGACGAUAAUGAUGAUACCGCUGCAUCAUCAUCAUCAUUAUUAUUAUUA